rnacentral:rRNA from 1 species
AGUGAACGCUGGCGGUAGGCCUAGCACAUGCAAGUCGAACGGCAGCACAGUAAGAGCUUGCUCUUACGGGUGGCGAGUGGCGGACGGGUGAGGAAUACAUCGGAAUCUACUUUUUCGUGGGGGAUAACGUAGGGAAACUUACGCUAAUACCGCAUACGACCUACGGGUGAAAGCAGGGGAUCUUCGGACCUUGCGCGAUUGAAUGGGCCGAUGUCGGAUUAGCUAGUUGGCGGGGUAAAGGCCCACCAAGGCGACGAUCCGUAGCUGGUCUGAGAGGAUGAUCAGCCACACUGGAACUGAGACACGGUCCAGACUCCUACGGGAGGCAGCAGUGGGGAAUAUUGGACAAUGGGCGCAAGCCUGAUCCAGCCAUACCGCGUGGGUGAAGAAGGCCUUCGGGUUGUAAAACCCUUUUGUUGGGAAAGAAAAGCAGCAGGUUAAUACCCCGCUGUUCUGACGGUACCCAAAGAAUAAGCACCGGCUAACUUCGUG